rnacentral:rRNA from 1 species
CUACGUGCCAGCAGCCGCGGUAAUACGUAGGGUGCGAGCGUUAAUCGGAAUUACUGGGCGUAAAGCGAGCGCAGACGGUUACUUAAGCAGGAUGUGAAAUCCCCGGGCUCAACCUGGGAACUGCGUUCUGAACUGGGUGACUAGAGUGUGUCAGAGGGAGGUAGAAUUCCACGUGUAGCAGUGAAAUGCGUAGAGAUGUGGAGGAAUACCGAUGGCGAAGGCAGCCUCCUGGGAUAACACUGACGUUCAUGCCCGAAAGCGUGGGUAGCAAACAGGAUUAGAUACCCUGGUAGUCCACGCCCUAAACGAUGUAUACUAGUUGUUGCUAAGCUAGUCUUGGCAGUAAUGCACCUAACGGAUUAAGUAUACCGCCUGGGGAGUACGGUCGCAAGAUUAAAACUCAAAGGAAUAGACGGGGACCCGCACAAGCGGUGGAGCAUGUGGUUUAAUUCGAAGAUACGCGAAGAACCUUACCCGGACUUGAUAUCCCGUUGAC